GGUGGAGGUGCGGAGCCGGAUCAGGGCCUUGCAAUAGACGCGGGUCUAGGUGAGGGGUGGAAUGGGGCGGAGGCUUGUAUAUAGCCGGGAUUGGGUAUGAAGUUGAGGUCUAAUUGGAUGUAUGUGACCUAUUGAUUUGGGGCGGGUUAUAGGACAAAGGAUUGAUUUGGAAGAAAAAGCAAGCUGUGGGGUCACAAGGCUUAGGUGAGGGGAAGCAUGUAGUUUGAACGAUGUUAGAAGGUGCCAGAGAGGGCAAGGCUAAAGAGAGUGUGCAAAAAGUUUUGUAGAUGUAUUUAUCACCUAUGAUGGUGGUGAGGGGGGAAAAAUAGGAACUUUACUUUCCUGAACAGUAAAACGAAUUCGAUCAGAGAACCGGGAAUGGAAUAGGGUAUGAAACUGAGAAGGAAAAUAAGUGACACUUUAAACGUGAAGAAGAAAAAUUGGCUAAGAGAAAAAGGAACACCAGAAAUUACUCCUUUAUUGAGGGCAGUGUUAGCCAAAGGAGAGGUUCUGGUAAGAAUUAGGUUUCAUAACUAGAUUUUCCUUAUCUCCUAAUUUAAGAAAAUGAGAGGAUAGAAGGAGUUGGGGGGCAGUAGCUUGUUAUUCAACUGCAGAAGAAAGAACAAAGAUAAUCUCUGGUUGAAGGAAUCUACUCUGCACCUAGGUACUGCGAGAUUCAGAAGAUUAUCAGAUUUUUAUAUUUUACAGGGGAACACCAGGGCUAGUUCCUAACAAUACCGAAGCCUUAAGGUACGCGGGCCUCUCACUGUUGUGGCCUCUCCAAUUGCAGAG